UUACGGCCAUAUCACGUUCAACACCGAUUCCCGUACGAUCACCGAAGUUAAACAACGUCGAGCCUGGUCAGUACUUAGAUGAGUAACCGCUUGAGAAUAUCAGGUGCUGCAAG